rnacentral:rRNA from 1 species
GACGAACGCUGGCGGCGUGCCUAAUACAUGCAAGUCGAACGCUUCUUUUCUACCGAGUGCUUGCACUCACUUGGAAAGAGGAGUGGCGGACGGGUGAGUAACACGUGGGUAACCUGCCCAUCAGAAGGGGAUAACACUUGGAAACAGGUGCUAAUACCGUAUAACAAUGAGAACCGCAUGGUUCUCAUUUGAAAGGCGCUUUCGGGUGUCGCUGAUGGAUGGACCCGCGGUGCAUUAGCUAGUUGGUGAGGUAACGGCUCACCAAGGCAACGAUGCAUAGCCGACCUGAGAGGGUGAUCGGCCACACUGGGACUGAGACACGGCCCAAACUCCUACGGGAGGCAGCAGUAGGGAAUCUUCGGCAAUGGACGAAAGUCUGACCGAGCAACGCCGCGUGAGUGAAGAAGGUUUUCGGAUCGUAAAACUCUGUUGUUAGAGAAGAACAGGAGAAGUAGUAACUGGCUUCUUUUUGACGGUAUCUAACCAGAAAGCCACGGCUAACUACGUGCCAGCAGCCGCAGUAAGAC